GACAGAGGGUGCAAACGUUGUUCGGAAUUACUGGGCGUAAAGCGCGUGUAGGCGGCUUGGCAAGUCGGGUGUGAAAGCCCUGGGCUCAACCUAGGAAGUGCACUCGAAACUGCUUCGCUUGAAUGCCGGAGAGGAAAGCGGAAUUCUCGGUGUAGAGGUGAAAUUCGUAGAUAUCGAGAGGAACACCGGUGGCGAAGGCGGCUUUCUGGACGGUGAUGACGUCUGAGACGCGAAAGCGUGGGGAGCAAACAGG
rnacentral:rRNA from 1 species